rnacentral:rRNA from 1 species
AGAGUUCCUUCCUGGCUCAGAUUGAACGCUGGCGGCAUGCCUUACACAUGCAAGUCGAACGGCAGCACGGGAGCAAUCCUGGUGGCGAGUGGCGAACGGGUGAGUAAUAUAUCGGAACGUGCCCAGUCGUGGGGGAUAACGCAGCGAAAGCUGUGCUAAUACCGCAUACGAUCUCUGGAUGAAAGCGGGGGACUCAGCAAUGGGCCUCGCGCGAUUGGAGCGGCCGAUAUCAGAUUAGCUAGUUGGUGGGGUAAAAGCCCACCAAGGCGACGAUCUGUAGCUGGUCUGAGAGGACGACCAGCCACACUGGAACUGAGACACGGUCCAGACUCCUACGGGAGGCAGCAGUGAGGAAUUUUCUGCAAUGGGCGAAAGCCUGACAGAGCAAUACCGCGUGAGGGAUGAAGACUUACUGAGUUGUAAACCUCGGUACCUUAAGGAAGAAGAUCUGACGGUACUUAAGGUGGAAAGCAUCGGCUAACUCCGUGCCAGCAGCCGCGGUAAGACGGGGGAUGCAAGUGUUAUCCGGAUUUACUGGGCGUAAAGCGUCUGCAGGUGGUUUCUUAAGUCUACUGUUAAAUCUUGAGGCUCAACCUCAAAUCUGCAGUAGAAACUAGGAGACUUGAGUAUAGUAGGGGUAGAGGGAAUUUCCAGUGGAGCGGUGAAAUGCGUAGAUAUUGGAAAGAACACCGAUGGCGAAGGCACUCUACUGGGCUAUUACUGACACUCAGAGACGAAAGCUAGGGGAGCAAAAAAGAUUAGAUACCCCAGUAGUCCUAGCCAUAAACGAUGGAUACUCGAUGUUGGACGUAUCGACCCGCUCAGUAUCUUAGCUAACGCGUUAAGUAUCCCGCCUGGGGAGUACGCUCGCAAGAGUGAAACUCAAAGGAAUAGACGGGGGCCCGCACAAGCGGUGGAGGAUGUGGUUUAAUUCGAUGCAACGCGGAGAACCUUACCAGGGUUUGCUAGAAGUGUUGGUUUUCUGAAAAGAAUUCCUUAUUCCGCUUCUACAGGUGGUGCAUGGCUGUCGUCAGCUCGUGUCGUGAGAUGUUGGGUUAAGUCCCGCAACGAGCGCAACCCUUAUUUUUAGUUCUAUUGUCUAGAAAGACUGCCGGUGACAAACCGGAGGAAGGUGAGGACGACGUCAAGUCAUCAUGCCCCUUACACCCUGGGCUACACACGUCCUACAAUGGGUAAGACAAUAAGUUGCAAAUUCGCGAGAAUAAGCUAAUCUUUGAAACUUACUCCAAGUACAGAUUGCAGGCAGCAACUCGCCUGCAUGAAGGUGGAAUCGCUAGUAAUCGCUGGUCAGCUACACAGCGGUGAAUCCAAUGCCGGGCCUUGCACACACCGCCCGUCA